rnacentral:rRNA from 1 species
ACUUAAAUUGAAGAGUUUGAUCAUGGCUCAGAUUGAACGCUGGCGGCAGGCCUAACACAUGCAAGUCGAGCGGUAGCACAGAGAGCUUGCUCUCGGGUGACGAGCGGCGGACGGGUGAGUAAUGUCUGGGAAACUGCCUGAUGGAGGGGGAUAACUACUGGAAACGGUAGCUAAUACCGCAUAACGUCGCAAGACCAAAGUGGGGGACCUUCGGGCCUCAUGCCAUCAGAUGUGCCCAGAUGGGAUUAGCUGGUAGGUGGGGUAACGGCUCACCUAGGCGACGAUCCCUAGCUGGUCUG